rnacentral:rRNA from 1 species
GACGAACGCUGGCGGCGUGCUUAACACAUGCAAGUCGAGCGGUAAGGCCCUUUCGGGGGUACGACGAGCGGCGAACGGGUGAGUAACACGUGGGUGACCUGCCCUCAGCUCUGGGAUAAGCCUGGGAAACCGGGUCUAAUACUGGAUAUGACUCCAUGACGCAUGUUGUGGGGUGGAAAGCCUUGUGCGGCUGAGGAUGGGCCCGCGGCCUAUCAGCUUGUUGGUGGGGUGAGGCCUACCAAGGCGACGACGGGUAGCCGGCCUGAGAGGGCGACCGGCCACACUGGGACUGAGACACGGCCCAGACUCCUACGGGAGGCAGCAGUGGGGAAUCUUGCGCAAUGGGCGAAAGCCUGACGCAGCGACGCCGCGUGAGGGAUGACGGCCUGGUUGUAAC